CCUCCACAUACACCCCAUAUCCCCCCUUAUCCCCCCAUGCUGUCCCCAUGUCCCUGGCUGUCCCUGUGUCCCUUAAUGUCCCCGUGUCCCUGCCUGUCCCCAUCUGUCCCUGUGUCCCUGCCUGUCUCCAUGUCCCUUAAUGUCCCCCUGUCCCUGCCUGUCCCUGUGUCCCUUAAUGUCCCCCUGUCCCUGCCUGUCCCCAUGUCCCUGCCUUUCCCCCUGUCCCCAGCUGUCCCUGGCUGUCCCCAUGUCCCUUGAUGUCCCCCUGUCCCUGGCUGCCCCCCUGUCCCUGCCUGUCCCCAUGUCCCUUAAUGUCCCCCUGUCCCUGCCUGUCCCCCUGUCCCUGGCUGUCCACGCGUCCCUUAAUGUCCCCCUGUCCCUAGCUAUCCCCCUGUCCCCUUCUGUCCCCAUGUCCCUUAAUGUCCCCCUGUCCCUGCCUGUCCCCAUGUCCCUUGCUGUCCCUGUGUCCCUGCCUGUCCCCCUGUCCCUGCCUGUCCCCUUGUCCCUUUCUGUCCCCGUAUCCCUGCCUGUCCCCCUGUCCCUGCCUGUCCCUGCCUGUCCCCAUCUGUCCCCAUGUCCCUGGCUCCCCCCUGUCCCUGCCUGUCCCCCUGUCCCCUUCUGUCCCCAUGUCCCUUAAUGUCCCCAUAUCCCUUGCUGUCCCCCUGUCCCUGCCUGUCCCUCUGUCCCCUGCUGUCCCCAUGUCCCUGGCUAUCCCUGUGUCCCUUGCUGUCCCCAUGUUGCCAGCUGUCCCCCUGUCCCUUGCUGUCCCUUUAUGUCCCCGUGUCCCUGCCUGUCCCCAGCUGUCCCCCUGUCCCCUUCUGUCCCCAUGUCCCUUAAUGUCCCCAUGUCCCUGCCUGUCCCCCUGUCCCCUUCUGUCCCCAUGUCCCUUACUGUCCCCAUAUCCCUUGCUGUCCCCCUGUCCCCAGCUGUCCCCGUGUCCCUGCCUGUCCCCAGCAGUCCCCAUAUCCCUGCCUGUCCCCGGCUGUCCCCGUGCCCCCUGCUGUCCCCGUGCCCCCUGCUGUCCCCGUGUCCCUUACUGUCCCCGUGUCCCUGCCUGUCCCCCUGUCCCUGCCUGUCCCCGUGCCCCCCGCUGUCCCCAUGUCCCUCCCUGUCCCCAUGUCCCUCCCUGUCCCCAUGUCCCUUACUGUCCCCAUGUCCCUGCCUGUCCCCCUGUCCCUGCCUGUCCCCAUGUCCCUUGCUGUCCCCCUGUCCCUCCCUGUCCCCAUGUCCCUUACUGUCCCCGUAUCCCUGCCUGUCCCCCUGUCCCUGGCUGUCCCUCCCUGUCCCCAUGUCCCUUACUGUCCCCAUGUCCCUUACUGUCCCCGUAUCCCUGCCUGUCCCCCUGUCCCUGGCUGUCCCCGUGCCCCCCGCUGUCCCCCUGUCCCUGCCUGUCCCUCCCUGUCCCCAUGUCCCUG
ensembl:lncRNA